GGCGCGGUAGCUCAGUUGGUAGAGCAGAGGACUGAAAAUCCUCGUGUCGCCGGUUCGAUCCCGGCCUGCGCCA
rnacentral:tRNA from 1 species